CACGUAGGGUGCGAGCGUUGUCCGGAAUUAUUGGGCAUAAAGAGCUCGUAGGCGGUGUGUCGCGUCGGCCGUGAAAACCUGCAGCUUAACUGUGGGCUUGCGGUCGAUACGGGCAUCACUGGAGUUCGGCAGGGGAGACUGGAAUUCCUGGUGUAGCGGUGAAAUGCGCAGAUAUCAGGAGGAACACCGGUGGCGAAGGCGAGUCCCUGGACAGGUCCUGACGCUGAGGCACGAAAGCUAGGGGAGCAAACAGG
rnacentral:rRNA from 1 species